AACGAACGCUGGCGGCGUGCUUAACACAUGCAAGUCGAACGAUGAACCCGGAGCUUGCUCCGGCGGAUUAGUGGCGAACGGGUGAGUAACACGUGAGUAACCUGCCCUUGACUCUGGGAUAACUGCUAGAAAUGGUAGCUAAUACCGGAUACGACCCUCGGUGGCAUCACCAGGGGGUGGAAAGAAUUUCGGUCAAGGAUGGACUGGCGGCCUAUCAGCUAGUUGGUGAGGUAACGGCUCACCAAGGCGACGACGGGUAGCCGGCCUGAGAGGGUGACCGGGCACACUGGGACUGAGACACGGCCCAGGCGCCUACGGGAGGCAGCAGUGGGGAAUAUUGCGCAAGGGGCGCAAGCCUGAUGCAGCAACGCCGCGUGAGGGAUGACGGCCUUCGGGUUGUAAACCUCUUUUAGUAGGGAAGAAGCGAAAGUGACGGUACCUGCAGAAAAAGCACCGGCUAACUACGUGCCAGCCGCCGCGGUAA
rnacentral:rRNA from 1 species